rnacentral:misc_RNA from 1 species
UGAUGAGGGGAUGUCAACUGUAGUCUAAAUGAACCUAUAAAUUUGUUGACUCAAAUGAAACCUGAAGUACAAAUGCUAUACGAGAGGAAACUUUAUCAUAGUGAUAUUCCUUCCUAAGAACCAUCUCAACAAAUAAAAUAUCUCAUCAAGUAACAGACAGUAAAAUUUAAGUGCUAUUACAAUAACCUGUUGAUUCCCAGGAGAAA